ensembl:snoRNA
AUCCUUUUGUAAUUCAUAAGCAUGAUGAUUAGGUUUUCACACCACUGUGUGAGACGUGUCUCCCUCAAACCUUGUUAUGAGACGUUGGUACUGUACCCACCUGAUG